rnacentral:rRNA from 1 species
AAACCAACUGGGGUUACCUUAGUAACGGCGAGUGAAGCGGUAAAAGCUCAAAUUUGAAAUCUGGUACUUUCAGUGCCCGAGUUGUAAUUUGUAGAAUUUGUCUUUGAUUAGGUCCUUGUCUAUGUUCCUUGGAACAGGACGUCAUAGAGGGUGAGAAUCCCGUUUGGCGAGGAUACCUUUUCUCUGUAAGACUUUUUCGAAGAGUCGAGUUGUUUGGGAAUGCAGCUCAAAGUGGGUGGUAAAUUCCAUCUAAAGCUAAAUAUUGGCGAGAGACCGAUAGCGAACAAGUACAGUGAUGGAAAGAUGAAAAGAACUUUGAAAAGAGAGCGAAAAAGUACGUGAAAUUGUUGAAAGGGAAGGGCAUUUGAUCAGACAUGGUGUUUUUGCAUGCACUCGCCUCUCGUGGGCUUGGGCCUCUCAAAAUUUCACUGGGCCAACAUCAAUUCUGGCAGCAGGAUAAAUCAUUAAGAAUGUAGCUACUUCGGUAGUGUUAUAGCUUUUUGGAAUACUGUUAGCCGGGAUUGA